CAGUAGCCGCGGGAAUACGGAGGGUGCAAGCGUUAUCCGGAUUUAUUGGGUUUAAAGGGUCCGUAGGCGGACUUAUAAGUCAGUGGUGAAAGCCUGUCGCUUAACGAUAGAACUGCCAUUGAUACUGUAAGUCUUGAGUAUAUUUGAGGUAGCUGGAAUAAGUAGUGUAGCGGUGAAAUGCAUAGAUAUUACUUAGAACACCAAUUGCGAAGGCAGGUUACCAAGAUAUAACUGACGCUGAGGGACGAAAGCGUGGGUAGCGAACAGGAUUAGAUACCCCGGUAGUCCCUGUCUCUUAUAU
rnacentral:rRNA from 1 species